AACGCGAAGAACCUUACCAAGGUUUGACAUGCAGGGAAAAGCCGUAGAGAUACGGUGUCCGUAAGGGUCCUGCACAGGUGGUGCAUGGCUGUCGUCAGCUCGUGUCGUGAGAUGUUGGGUUAAGUCCCGCAACGAGCGCAACCCUCGUCCUAUGUUGCCAGCGGGUAAUGCCGGGGACUCAUAGGAGACUGCCGGGGUCAACUCGGAGGAAGGUGGGGAUGACGUCAAGUCCUCAUGCCCCUUAUGUCUUGGGCUGCACACGUACUACAAUGCCCGGUACAAAGGGAAGCAAGACCGCAAGGUGGAGCAAAUCCCCCAAAACCGGGCCCAGUUCAGAUUGUUGUCUGCAACUCGACAGCAUGAAGCUGGAAUCGCUAGUAAUGGCGCAUCAGCUACGGCGCCGUGAAUACGUUCCCGGGCCUUGUACACACCGAUAGC
rnacentral:rRNA from 1 species